GGGUAGAUGACUGGGGUGAAGUCGUAACAAGGUAUCCGUACCGGAAGGUGCGGAUGGAUCACCUCCUUUCUAUGGAGA
rnacentral:rRNA from 1 species